rnacentral:rRNA from 1 species
UACGUAGGGGGCAAGCGUUGUCCGGAUUCAUUGGGCGUAAAGAGCGUGUAGGCGGUUCGGUAAGUCUGCUGUGAAAGUCCAGGGCUCAACCCUGGGAUGCCGGUGGAUACUGCCGAACUAGAGUGCGGAAGAGGCGAGUGGAAUUCCCGGUGUAGCGGUGAAAUGCGCAGAUAUCGGGAGGAACACCAAUUGCGAAGGCAGCUCGCUGGGACGUUACUGACGCUGAGACGCGAAAGCGUGGGGAGCAAACAGG